rnacentral:miRNA from 1 species
UGGAGAUACAGCCCUGUCGGA